UACGUAGGGGGCGAGCGUUGUCCGGAUUUAUUGGGCGUAAAGAGCUCGUAGGCGGUUCGGUAAGUCGAAUGUGAAAUCUCCACGCUCAACGUGGAGGGGUCAUUCGAAACUGCCGUGACUUGAGUACGGUAGGGGAGUGUGGAAUUCCCGGUGUAGCGGUGAAAUGCGCAGAGAUCGGGAGGAACACCCGUAGCGAAGGCGGCACUCUGGGUCGAUACUGACGCUGAGGAGCGAAAGCGUGGGGAGCAAACAGG
rnacentral:rRNA from 1 species